rnacentral:lncRNA from 1 species
UGGUCUGGGUUUGGGAUCUGUGAUCCAGCUUUGGGAUCUGGGUUUAGGGUCCAGAAUCCAUCGUUGGGAUCCAGAAUCUGGGUUUAGGAUCCAGAAUCCAUCGUUGGGAUCCAGAAUCUGGGUUUGGGAUCCAGGAUCCAUCUUUGGGAUCCAGAAUCUGGGUUUGGGAUCCAGAAUCCACCUUUGGGAUCCAGAAUCCAUCAUUGGGAUCCAGAAUCCACCUUUGGGAUCCAGGAUCCGGGUUUGGGAUCCAGGCUCCACCUUUGGGGUCCCACCUGUGUCUGCCCCCCUCCCCCUCCCCUGGGGGGGGGGGGGGGGGGGGGGGGGGGGGGGGGGGGGGGGGGGGGGGGGGGGGGGGGGGGGGGGGGGGGGGG